rnacentral:rRNA from 1 species
UGAGGGAAUAUUGGGUCAAUGGGGCGGAAGCCUGAACCAGCCAAGUCGCGUGAGGGAAGACGGUCCUACGGAUUGUAAACCUCUUUAGCCGGGGAGUGAAGUGCGUGACGGGUCACGCAUUGAGAGUACCCGGAGAAUAAGCAUCGGCUAACUCCGUGCCAGCAGCCGCGGUAAUACGGAGGAUGCGGGCGUUAUCCGGAUUUAUUGGGUUUAAAGGGUGCGCAGGCGGCUCGUCAAGUCAGCGGUCAAAGUUCCGGGCUCAACCCGGUGUCGCCGUUGAAACUGGCGUGCUCGAGUGCGUGCGAGGAAGGCGGAAUGCGUUGUGUAGCGGUGAAAUGCAUAGAUAUGACGCAGAACUCCGAUUGCGAAGGCAGCUUUCCAGCGCGCUACUGACGCUGAGGCACGAAAGCGUGGGGAUCG